rnacentral:rRNA from 1 species
UCAAGCUACAAAGAGCGCAAGGGGAAUGCCUUGGCACCAGGAGCCGACGAAGGACGCAGCGAUCUGCGAAAAGCCACGGUGAGGCGAAAGCAGCCAUCGACCCGUGGAUUUCCGAAUGGGGAAACCCGGCUGAGCAAUACUCAGUCAUCAUGCGGUGAAUCAAAUAGCCGUAUGAAGGGAACCGCCUGAACUGAAACAUCUAAGUAGGGCGAGGAAAAGAAAUCAACCGAGAUUCCGCUAGUAGUGGCGAGCGAACGCGGAAGAGGCCAAACCGAGAGUAGAAAUAUUCUCGGGGUUCGGACAGUGUAGUGUAUUGAUGACGGUUAGCAGAAGGACAUGGGACGGUCCACCAGAGAGAGUGAUAGUCUCGUACGCGAAAACCGAAGUCAGCCAACUGUAUCCAGAGUACCGCCGGACACGUGAAACCCGGUGGGAAUAUGGGGGGACCAUCCUCCAAGCCUAAAUACUCCCUGGUGACCGAUAGUGAACAGUACUGUGAAGGAAAGGUGAAAAGAACCCCGGGAGGGGAGUGAAAAGAACCUGAAACCUUGUGCUUACAAGCACACAAAGCACGUCAAAGUGUGAUGUGGUACCUUUUGUAGAAUGGUCCGGCGAGUGAAUGUAACCGGCGAGGUUAAGUGUUUAAGACACGGAGCCGCAGCGAAAGCGAGUCUGAAACGGGCGUUUCAGUCGGUUGUAUUCGACCCGAAACCGGGUGACCUAGCCAUGUCCAGGCUGAAGUUAAGGUAAAACUUGAUGGAGGGCCGAACCCACUCCCGUUGAAAUGGUAGGGGAUGAGGUGUGGCUAGCGGAGAAAUUCCAAUCGAACCCGGAGAUAGCUGGUUCUCUCCGAAAUAGCUUUAGGGCUAGCCUCGAUUUGACAUUACCGGAGGUAGAGCACUGAAUAGGCUAGGGGCCGAGAGGUUACUGAACCUUAUCAAACUCCGAAUGCCGGAUAAUGAUGAUCGGGAGUCAGACUGCGGGAGAUAAGUUUCGUAGUCAAAAGGGAAACAGCCCAGACCCACAGCUAAGGUCCCGAAGUACAGUUAAGUGGAAAAGGAUGUGGGGUUGCAUAGACAACCAGGAUGUUGGCUUAGAAGCAGCCACUCAUUAAAAGAGUGCGUAAUAGCUCACUGGUCGAGUGACCCUGCGCCGAAAAUUUAACGGGGCUAAACUGUACACCGAAGCUUGGGAUACAUUAAUGUAUGGUAGGAGAGCGUUGUAUGCGGGGUGAAGUCGCAGCGGAAGCGGCGGUGGACUGCAUAGAAGUGAGAAUGCCGGAAUGAGUAGCGAGAUUUAUGUGAGAAUCAUAAAGGCCGAAAGACUAAGGAUUCAGAAGGAAGGUUCGUCCGCUUCUGGUUAGCCGGGGGCUAAGGUGAGGCCGAAAGGCGUAGCCGAUGCACAUACGGUGGAGAUUCCGUAGCCGCCGAAACAUUUAAGUAAAGGGACACUUGAGAAGUUCAUAAGCCGGGCGUUGGUAGACCCGGUCGUAAGGGUGCGAAAUUAAGUAGCUGAAGUAUGAAUGGAACAAGGCGAGAAAAGCUUUACGGAAUAUGUUAGGCGCCCGUACCGCAAACCGACACAGGUAGUCAGGAAGAGAAUUCUAAGGCCAACGGGAGAAGGGUAGUUAAGGAACUCGGCAAAUUGACCCCGUAACUUCGGAAUAAGGGGUGCUCCUGAGAAGGAGCCGCAGUGAAAAGGUCCAGGCGACUGUUUAUCAAAAACACAGGUCUCUGCUAAAUCGAAAGAUGAAGUAUAGGGGCUGACACCUGCCCGGUGCUGGAAGGUUAAGAGGAGAGGUGCAAGCUUUGAAUCGAAGCCCCAGUAAACGGCGGCCGUAACUAUAACGGUCCUAAGGUAGCGAAAUUCCUUGUCGGGUAAGUUC